GCGUUGGUAGUACAACGGUUCAGCACACUCCCCAGAUAGGGUGAAAUGUGGGUUCGAGUCCCAACUGACGCU